UGUGUGUGUGUGUUUGUGUGUGUGUAUAUAUAUAUAUAUAUAUAUACACACACACAUACACACCCACACC
rnacentral:miRNA from 1 species